rnacentral:lncRNA from 1 species
AACCUAUGGCACUGUUGUUUCGUUUUACUGUUCCCCUGACUGUCUCUACAUGAGCACCAACAGUAUCACACUUCUUGCGGUGAAUUUUGUGACUGACAUCCUAGCAGCAGCAGAGCCUGAGAGGCAAAGUGGCUCCCACUAAAGGGAAGAACAAUCUGAUGAUGGUGUCUUCACUGAAAAGUAGUUACUUUAAAAUGUGGUGCGCAGAGCUAACAUCCACAGAGAAGAACUUUAAAGUCUCACAACUGAGAGAAAAGCUGUAAUAAUUGUCUGUAAGGCUGACUUGAUGGUUGACUGCAAUAAACUUGUGAAAAACCUGGAUCGUAGGAAAUAA